AUUGAACGCUGGCGGAAUGCUUUACACAUGCAAGUCGAACGGUAGAGGGGGCAACCCCUUGAGAGUGGCGAACGGGUGAGUAAUAUAUCGGAACGUGCCCAGUCGUGGGGAUAACGUAGCGAAAGUUACGCUAAUACCGCAUACGAUCUAAGGAUGAAAGCGGGGGAUCGCAAGACCUCGCGCGAUUGGAGCGGCCGAUAUCAGAUUAGGUAGUUGGUGGGGUAAAGGCUCACCAAGCCAACGAUCUGUAGCUGGUCUGAGAGGACGACCAGCCACACUGGAACUGAGACACGGUCCAGACUCCUACGGGAGGCAGCAGUGGGGAAUUUUGGACAAUGGACGCAAGUCUGAUCCAGCCAUUCCGCGUGCAGGAUGAAGGCCCUCGGGUUGUAAACUGCUUUUGUACGGAACGAAAAGGUUUCUCUUAAUACGAGGAGCUCAUGACGGUACCGUAAGAAUAAGCACCGGCUAACUACGUGCCAGCAGCCGCGGU
rnacentral:rRNA from 1 species